rnacentral:rRNA from 1 species
ACUCCUACGGGAGGCAGCAGUGGGGAAUAUUGCGCAAUGGGGGAAACCCGUAGACGCAGCAAUGCCGAGUGAGUGAGGAAGGCCUUCGGGUUGUAAAGCUCUGUCAGAUGGGAAUAAUUGCUCAGGGUCCAAUAGGCCCUAAGUUUGAAGGUACCUUCAAAGGAAGCACCGGCUAACUUCGUGCCAGCAGCCGCGGUAAUACGAAGGGUGCAAGCGUUGUUCGGAUUUAUUGGGCGUAAAGCGCGCGCAGGCGGAUUGUUAAGUCAGAUGUG